GUGAGACCUACAAGUCGAGCAGAGACGAAAGUCGGUCAUAGUGAUCCGGUGGUCCCGAGUGGAAGGGCCAUCGCUCAACGGAUAAAAGGUACUCCGGGGAUAACAGGCUGAUACCGCCCAAGAGUUCAUAUCGACGGCGGUGUUUGGCACCUCGAUGUCGGCUCAUCACAUCCUGGGGCUGAAGCCGGUCCCAAGGGUAUGGCUGUUCGCCAUUUAAAG
rnacentral:rRNA from 1 species